AGAGUUUGAUCAUGGCUCAGAAUCAACGCUGGCGGCGUGCCUAACACAUGCAAGUCGAACGCGGUUAUUCAGCAAUGGAUAACUGAGUGGCGAACGGGUGAGUAACACGUGGGUGACAUACCUUCGAGUGGGGGAUAACGUCCCGAAAGGGACGCUAAUACCGCAUAACAUCCUGUCCUUGAACGGAUGGAGAUCAAAGCCGGGGAUCGCAAGACCUGGCGCUUGAUGAGGGGCCCGCGUCCGAUUAGCUAGUUGGUGAGGUAAUGGCUCACCAAGGCGACGAUCAGUAUCCGGCCUGAGAGGGCGGACGGACACACUGGGACUGAGACACGGCCCAGACUCCUACGGGAGGCAGCAGUGGGGAAUUGUUCACAAUGGGCGCAAGCCUGAUGACGCAACGCCGCGUGGAGGAUGAAGGUCUUCGGAUUGUAAACUCCUGUUGCUCGGGACGAAAAGCCUCGACAUAAUACGUCGAGGUCUGACGGUACCGAGUGAGGAAGCCCCGGCUAACUCUGUGCCAGCCGCCGCGGUAAUAC
rnacentral:rRNA from 1 species